GCCCCUGUGGCCUAAUGGAUAAGGCAUCGGUCUCCUAUACCGGGGAUUGUGGGUUCGAGUCCCACCAGGGGUA